UCCCAUUGGCAAUGAGCAAAGAGACACUAUUGGUGGUGUUGUUCCUAUAUCAGUCAGGGACAGUACAGAUGGCAGUGGCUUGUUCAUCCUAGCUUGAUGCCUGGCUUGGUGACCAAAGCUGUUUUAUGCCUAGGACUCAUAA